rnacentral:lncRNA from 1 species
UAUAUAUAUAUAUAUAUAUAUAUAUAUAUAUAUAUAUAUAUAUAUAUAUAUAUAUAUAUAUAUAUAUAUAUAUAUAUAUAUAUAUAUACGUUAGUAUAUAUAUAUAUAUAUAUAUAUAUAUAUAUAUAUAUAUAUACACUGUGUAUAUAAAUAUAUAUAUUUAUAUAUACACACACCUUUGAAUAUAUAUAUAUAUCAUUCAUUGGGAUAAAUUGUGUCUGACUUUUUAUUGAUUACAGAAAAUACUCUGCUGCUAACAUCAGCACUAACCUGUAUGUGAUCAGCGAGCCGUGGCUGUAUUCUCUUGCCUGGUGCGCAGGGGCUCAUUCUGUCGCCACUAAUGCUGUUCACAUCCUCAAAAACCUGCAAAGACCGCUCUUUCUCAUGGUAAAUAGCACACAUCUACAGUUCUCAGGGAUUCGUCCAUCCUGUAUUUUUUUCCCUUUGGUUUUCCUCUCUGUUUCUCACAGACACCAGAUGAGUACAGGCUUAUGUGGACUAUUACUGACAUCACUUCCCUUAUUCUUGUCAUGAUUAUCUUUGUGUUUCACUGGUGGAGGGAGCGUGAGUUGGCUCUCAGUGUGGACAGCAGUUCAGUAAUUGAGAAUGGGUCCUACAGACAGUUCAGGACAGGUAAGAGGCAUUUAAUCUUUUAAACCACCCAAGUCAAAUGAUUGAAUUAUUAUUUGAAUAGUUCACACAAAAAUGAAUAAUUGCUGUAAAUUUCAAAAAUACUCGAAUUCAAAAUACUCGUCAAUCACUUGCUCGCCAAUGGAUCCUCUGCAGUGAAUAGGUUCUUGAAGAUGGCUCAGUUAUGAUAAAUAAUGCAUGUUUAUAUUUUCUAUCGAGCAUUCAAAAUACAGAACUAUAGCAAUGGGAGUAUCAUUUCUGACACGCUGUACGCGGUAGACCAAUCACAACAGACUGGGCCAUCUGACCAAUCAGAGCAGAGUAGGCUCAUGGAAAGGAAGGGUUGAGAGAGACUGAAUCUUAGAACUGCUUUGAACUAAUUAUUUGAGAAUCACUGGGAAACAGGAUGAUAUUAAAUGCAUGUUUUGAGAAAACGAAAGCAUUUUUUGACCUUGCAUGCAUGUAAACCUGUUGUAAGAGACUCCCAAAACAAUAUUAUGCAAUAUUAUGGAUUUUUAGCCAAAAGCAAUGGUUAAAAUUAUGGAUUUGUGUCAAACACACAGCUUUUCACUUCACAGGAUAUUAAUUGAUGGACUGUAGUCGUGUGUAUUACUUGUCCAGCUGUUUGUACUCUCAUUCUGACGGCACCCAUUCACUGCAAAGGAUCUAUUGAUGAGCAAGUGAGCUAAUGCUAAAUUGCCCCAAAUCAGGAUUCUGGAUUGGUUCAGGGUGAGUAGAUUUUCAUUUUUGGGUGAACGAUUCCUUUAAUCUGAAUCUUCAAGACCAUAACGCUGAUCAUGUUUCCAUGAACAGAGAUGAAUGAUGUGUGGUCUUUAUCCAACAUGAGUGCCUCUGACAAGCAAGAACCAUCUCUUUGAAGUGCCUGACGAAAUUUUCUGGUUCAUAUUUAACCCCUUAUAUUAAAAAAAAACUGUAACUGAUGUUCAGUUAAGCCAGUAUAAACCACUGUGUAUGUGGUACAUUGAAAUCACCCUUUACAUUUUAUAAAAUUGUAAGUGUUUGGUACACAAAAUAACU